CUGGAGACUAAGAAAGUGGAGUCCUGGAAGUCGAGCCGACUGGGCUCUCAGCCUCCUAAAUAAAAAGGUAGAUAGGACAGGUCUUGUCUACAAAAUAAAUUCAAGACCUGCUGACUACCAACAUCA